GAACGCUGGCGGCGUGGAUUAUGCACGCAAGUCGUACGAUGUGGUUAGCUUCGGCUUUCUUACCUAGUGGCGAACUGGUCCGUACAAGUUGGGUAACCUGCCUGGAAGUGGGGGAUAACGGAGGGAAACCUUCGCUAAUACCGCAUGUGGUUCGGGGGGCUUUGGCCUCCUUAACUAAAGCAGCAGUGCGCUUCCGGAUGGGCCCGACUCCCAUUAGCUUGUUGGUGGGGUAAUGGCCUACCAAGGCAACGAUGGGUAUGUGGCCUGAGAGGGUGGCCACCGACACGAGGACUGAGAUACGGCCUCGACUCCUACGGGGGGCAGCAGUCUAGAAGCUUCGGCAAUGGGGGAAACCCUGACCGAGCGACGCCGCGUGGAGGAUGACGGCCUUCGGGUUGUAAACUCCUUCGGCAGGAAGGAAUGCCUGGGUGGCGAACUCAGGAGUGACCUACCUGCGGAAGAAGCCCCGGCUAACUCUGUGCCAGCAGCCGCGGUAAGACAGAGGGGGCAAGCGUUAUUCGGAUUUACUGGGCGUAAAGGGCGCGUAGGCGGCUUGGUAAGUCUGGUGUGAAAACGCUACCGCUUAACGGAGCGAUUGCGCUGGAAACUGCCAAACUUGAGUCCAUGAGAGGCCGGUAGAAUACCUGGUGUAGCGGUGGAAUGCUUAGAGAUCAGGUAGAAUACCUGAGGCGAAGGCGGCCGGCUGGCAUGGUACUGACGCUGAGGCGCGAAAGCGUGGGGAGCAAACAGGAUUAGAUACCCUGGUAGUCCACGCUGUAAACGGUGUGCACUAGCCGUGGGGGGUAACCAUUCCCUCCGUGGCGCAGGAAACCCACUAAGUGCACCGCCUGGGGAGUACGGCCGCAAGGUUGAAACUCAAAGGAAUUGACGGGGGCCCGCACAAGCGGUGGAGCAUGUGGUUUAAUUCGACGCAACGCGAAGAACCUUACCAGGGCUCGAACGGAGGCUUAUAUCACCUGAAAAGGUGUGCCCUUCGGGGGUGCCUCCGAGGUGCUGCAUGGCUGUCGUCAGCUCGUGUCGUGAGAUGUUGGGUUAAGUCCCGCAACGAGCGCAACCCUCAUCGUUAGUUGCCAGCGCGUAAUGGCGGGGACUCUAGCGAGACUGCCCGCGGUAAGCGGGAGGAAGGUGAGGAUGAACGUCAAGUUCAUCAUGGCCCUUACGUCCUGGGCUACACACGUGCUACAAUGGCGGGGACAAUGCGCUGCUAACCAGCAAUGGUAUGCUAACCGCAUAAACCUCGCCCCAGUUCAGAUUGGAGGCUGCGACUCGCCUCCAUGAAGGUGGAAUCGCUAGUAAUCGCAGAUCAGAAUGCUGCGGUGAAUCAGUUCCCGGGCAUUGUACACACCGCCCGUCACGUCACGAAAGCCGAUUGUACC
rnacentral:rRNA from 1 species